UGUACGUGGAAUCAUAGACUGUGACGGGUGAUCCGAUUUCGAUUGAAAUCAGUCUCAUUACUGUCCUUGUCAAAUAAGCGUCUUGUGUUCGUACCACUGUGUUGCAUGUUAUGUGGGCCUGAAGACCUUACAAUGGUGGCAGCGGUGUAUAAGUGUGAACUUUGAAGAAAGUGUAACUUUAAGGAAAAAUUCAAGGAAAGUGCUUUUCAUCGAACUGUACUAUGACCUGGUGAUGUGAUUGACAGGUGUCUGACAGUAGGACAUUAACAAUGCCCCUGGGUUGUCAAUAUCAUCUUUAGUGUGUUAAAGCAUCUACCAACAAGGAACAAAGCAACAGAAACACAUCUCAAGGAAAUCGUCUUGACAUACUGGCUUUGUGAAAACAGUGAUGAAGCCGAAAAUAAAAAGUUACCUGAGGUUGGGCCAAGUUUGGUUUGUGUGGUGAAACCGUUUGCACUUGGUGGAACCGUCAUGCAGGACCUGACAGUAUCUGUCG
rnacentral:lncRNA from 1 species